UACGUAGGGGGCAAGCGUUGUCCGGAUUCAUUGGGCGUAAAGAGCGUGUAGGCGGCCAGGUAGGUCGGUUGUGAAAACUGGAGGCUCAACCUUCAGAGGUCGACCGAAACCAUCUGGCUAGAGUCCGGGAGAGGAGAGUGGAAUUCCUGGUGUAGCGGUGAAAUGCGCAGAUAUCAGGAAGAACACCCGUGGCGAAAGCGGCUCUCUGGAACGGUACUGUCGCUGAGACGCGAAAGCGUGGGGAGCGAACAGG
rnacentral:rRNA from 1 species